ACGAACGCUGGCGGCAGGCUUAACACAUGCAAGUCGAACGCCCCGCAAGGGGAGUGGCGCACGGGUGAGUAACACGUGGGAACGUACCCUGAAGUCAGGAAUAACGUCGGGAAACUGACGCUAAUACCUGAUAUACUCUACGGAGGAAAGAUUUAUCGCUUCAGGAGCGGCCCGCGCAAGAUUAGCUAGUUGGUGGGGUAAUGGCCUACCAAGGCGACGAUCUUUAGCUGGUCUGAGAGGACGAUCAGCCACACUGGAACUGAGACACGGUCCAGACUCCUACGGGAGGCAGCAGUGGGGAAUAUUGGACAAUGGGGGCAACCCUGAUCCAGCCAUGCCGCGUGAGUGAUGAAGGCCUUCGGGUUGUAAAGCUCUUUAGCCAGGGAAGAUAAUGACGGUACCUGGAAAAUAAGCACCGGCUAACUUCGU
rnacentral:rRNA from 1 species